GUGCUCACUUCAAUAGCACAAAUACUAAAACUGGGACCAUACAGAGAAGAUUAGCAUGUCCCCUGCGCAAGAAUGACACACAAAUUUGUGAAAGGUUUCAUGUGUUU
ensembl:snRNA U6 U6 spliceosomal RNA